GUAGGGUGCGAGCGUUAAUCGGAAUUACUGGGGGCGUAAAGCGUGCGCAGGCGGCUUUGCAAGACAGAUGUGAAAUCCCCCCCGGGGGCUCAACCUGGGGGAACUGCAUUUGUGACUGCAAGGCUAGAGUACGGCAGAGGGGGAUGGAAUUCCGCGUGUAGCAGUGAAAUGCGUAGAUAUGCGGAGGAACACCGAUGGCGAAGGCAAUCCCCUGGGCCUGUACUGACGCUCAUGCACGAAAGCGUGGGGAGCAAACAGGAUUAGAUACCCUGGUAGUCCACGCCCUAAACGAUGUCAACUGGUUGUUGGACGGCUUGCUGUUCAGUAACGAAGCUAACGCGUGAAGUUGACCGCCUGGGGAGUACGGCCGCAAAGGUUG
rnacentral:rRNA from 1 species